GACGAACGCUGGCGGCGUGCCUAAUACAUGCCAGUUGAGCGAUGAAGCUUGGUGCUUGCUCCACUUUGAAGAGCAGCGAACGGGUGAGUAACGCGUGGGGAAUCUGCCUUUGAGCGGGGGACAACUUUUGGAAACGAAUGCUAAUACCGCAUAACAUCUUUAAACAUAAGUUUUAAGUUUGAAAGAUGCAAUUGCAUCACUUAAAGUUGAUCUCGCCUUGGAAUUGCUAGUUGGUUAAGUAAACGCUCACCCAGGCCAUGAUACAUAGCCGACCUGAGAGGGGGAUCGGGCACAUUGGGAAUGAAACAAGGCCCAAAAUCCUAAGGGAGGGAACAGGAGGGAAACUUUGGGAAAGGAGGAAAGUCUGGCCGAGGAACGGCGGGGGGGGGAAGAAGGUUUUCGGAACGUAAAACUCUGUUGGUAGAGAAGAACGUUAGUGGGAGUGAAAAGCGCAUCAAGUGACGGUAACUACCCAGAAAGGGACGGCUAACUACGUG
rnacentral:rRNA from 1 species